UUAAAAUUCAAAACGUUUAUUUCAAGUAAACUAAUAUGUUAAAAAAGGUGUGCAUAUAAAUACUGCUAUAAUUUUUUUGUAUAAAUAUAUGUAUUUGUAUGUGAAGAUAUUUGUAUAAGAAGUAACUUUCUAUUUUGUGUGAGACCUUUAAAAGUGUCCGUAAGAAAAAAAAGUGUCCGUCAGAACUGAGUUUAACAGUUCAAAGGUCAAUUCAAAGAAGACGCGAUAUUUCUUUCAUCUAUUUCUUCUUGUGACAUAAAAGUUUAUUUUUUCAGUCCUACGUUUUUCAACUUAGUAGAAUGUUCAAACAGAUUGGUUAUAAAAAACAGCAAAACAGGUACGCAAAAAUCGCGAUUUACGGAACCGAAUUUUGUGCUAAAAUUUUGAUCCACGUUUUUCGUAGUCUCUUCAAAGUCGGCGUGGUUUGAUGAAGGCUGUGUGGAAUAACUUUUUAAUAUUUAUUAUCAACGUAUAUUUUUAGAAAGUAGAAUAGUUGAGCGUCUUUUUGUACUUUAAUUAUAAUCACUUUAUACUACUAUAUACUUUAUACUACUCACUUUAUUCAUUAUACUACUUUAAUUAUACUCACAAUUAUACUCACAAUUAUACUCACAAUUAUACUUAAUUAUACUCACAUUAAUGAAUUUAUUAAUGUCA
rnacentral:misc_RNA from 1 species